GCUCCAGGGACCUGGCGGCCGCCGAUCGGGGCUGCGAGGCCCCAUGGCGCCGCCCCCAGCCCCGCUCCUGGCUCCGAGGCCCGGGGAGACCCGGCCUGGUUGCAGGAAGCCCGGGGCUGUGAGCUUCGCGGACGUGGCCGUGUACUUCUCCCCGGAGGAGUGGGGCUGUCUGCGGCCCGCGCAGAGGGCUCUGUACCGGGACGUGAUGCGGGAGACCUACGGCCACCUGGGCGCGCUCGGUGAGAGCCCCGGGUCCGAGCCCCCUCCUCCUUCACCGGGUUCACAGGGGAGAUGAUGUAGAAGGGCCGAGAGGACUGUGAGCCCUAAUCCCGCACUCUUGCACCAACACCAGCAGCCACCUCCCGUUCCCAGGGCUUCAGGUACCCCCUCGGGAGUGUUUUCACCCGCAUCCACUUCAUUCAGGCAGCAGCACUGCAGCCCCGUCCAGGUUGAGUAUAAGCUCCGAGGGGGUGCCCUCAGCCUGGAGGGGAAUGCCAUCUUCCCACGAUGGCCUCUCAGGCCCACGCUGUGAUCCCUGUUCUCUCCCAGGAUUCCCAGGCCCCAAACCAGCCCUCAUCUCUUGGAUGGAACAGGAGAGUGAGGCUUGGAGCCCCGCCGCCCAGGAUCCUGAGAAGGGGGAAAGACUGGGAGGAGCUCGGAGAGGAGAUGUCCCAAACAGGAAGGAAGAGGAACCCGAGGAAGUCCCAAGAGCCAAAGGGCCUAGAAAGGCUCCUGUGAAGGAGAGUCCUGAAGUGCUGGUGGAACGCAACCCUGACCCAGCUAUUAGCGUGGCCCCGGCACGGGCACAGCCACCCAAAAAUGCUGCCUGGGACCCGACCACAGGAGCACAGCCCCCGGCACCCAUACCCAGCGUGGAUGCUCAGGCCGGCCAGCGGCGCCACGUGUGCACGGACUGCGGCCGCCGCUUCACCUACCCCUCGCUGCUGGUCAGCCACAGGCGCAUGCACUCGGGGGAGCGGCCCUUCCCCUGCCCCGAGUGUGGCAUGCGCUUCAAGAGGAAGUUCGCAGUGGAAGCGCACCAGUGGAUCCACCGCUCCUGCUCCGGGGGGCGGCGGGGCCGGAGGCCUGGGAUCCGGGCUGUGCCUCGGGCCCCCGUUCGAGGUGACCGGGACCCGCCUGUGCUCUUCCGGCACUACCCAGACAUCUUCGAGGAGUGCGGCUGAGCGGCACCGCAGGCUGGAGUUGAGCCUGACCUUGGCACGAAGGACUGACGGAGCCCUGACGUGGGCCACUGAGUCGGGGACUCCGGAACUGAAAUUCAUGCCCUGGGCUUUCCUCAAGGAUCCCUCAAGUUUCCAACUUGUAAAAAGAAAAGUGCCUGUAAAGAUUCGAAUAGAUUAGACUUGCCACCCCUCUCCCCAGUCUUUUGUUAAAAAAAAAA
rnacentral:sRNA from 1 species